rnacentral:rRNA from 1 species
GACGAACGCUGGCGGCGUGCCUAAUACAUGCAAGUCGAACGAGAGCAACCGGUGCUUGCACUGGUCAAUCUAGUGGCGAACGGGUGAGUAACACGUGGGUAACCUGCCCAUCAGAGGGGGAUAACAUCCGGAAACGGAUGCUAAAACCGCAUAGGUCUUCGAACCGCAUGGUUUGAAGAGGAAAAGAGGCGCAAGCUUCUGCUGAUGGAUGGACCCGCGGUGCAUUAGCUAGUUGGUGAGGUAACGGCUCACCAAGGCCGUGAUGCAUAGCCGACCUGAGAGGGUGAUCGGCCACAUUGGGACUGAGACACGGCCCAAACUCCUACGGGAGGCAGCAGUAGGGAAUCUUCCGCAAUGGACGCAAGUCUGACGGAGCAACGCCGCGUGAGUGAAGAAGGUUUUCGGAUCGUAAAACUCUGUUGUUAGAGAAGAACAAGUGCUAGAGUAACUGCUAGCGCCUUGACGGUAUCUAACCAGAAAGCCACGGCUAACUACGUG